rnacentral:rRNA from 1 species
CGCGGCUGAUUAGCUAGUUGGUAAGGUAAUGGCUUACCAAGGCAGUAUCUGGUUUGAGAGGACGAUCAGACACACUGGAACUGAGCCAGACUCCUACGGGAGGCAGCAGUGGGGAAUUUUCCGCAAUGGCCUGACGGAGCAAUACCGCGUGAGGGAAGACAGCCUACUGGGUUGUAAACCUCCAGGGAGGAAAAAAAUGACGUGUACCUGAAGAAUAAGCAUCGGCCGUGCCAGCAGCCGCGGUAAGACGGAGGAUGCUCCGGAAUUACUGGGCGUAAAGCGUCUGUAGGUUGUUUAAUAUGUUAAAUCUUGAGGCUUAACUUCAAAACAGCAGUCGAAACUAAGAGUAUAGUAGGGGUAAAGGGAAUUUCCAGUGGAGCGGUG